AACGAACGCUGGCGGCAGGCCUAACACAUGCAAGUCGAGCGCCUCAGCAAUGGGGAGCGGCAGACGGGUGAGUAACGCGUGGGUAUCUACCUAGUGGUGCGGAAUAGCCCAGGGAAACUUGGAGUAAUACCGCAUAAGCCCGAAAGGGGAAAGAUUUAUCGCCAUUAGAUGAGCCCGCGUUGGAUUAGCUAGUUGGUGGGUAACGGCCCACCAAGGCGACGAUCCAUAGCUGGUCUGAGAGGAUGAUCAGCCACACUGGGACUGAGACACGGCCCAGACUCCUACGGGAGGCAGCAGUGGGGAAUAUUGGACAAUGGGCGCAAGCCUGAUCCAGCCAUGCCGCGUGAGUGACGAAGGUCUUCGGAUUGUAAAGCUCUUUUGGCGG
rnacentral:rRNA from 1 species